AAAAACUAUCCUGCUGCUUGUUUUUUAUUUUUGUGGUCGGGGAGUUGUCAAAGUUAGCCGUGUCCUUGCAGGGUUUGCCGGCGGUGGCGUUGUCGUCGGUGACGGCGGCCGUGCCGUCCCCUGCUCAGCUCGCCUCGUCCACCGCUCUCACCUCUGCUUCGCUCGCCUCAUGCACCGCUGUCGCCCCUGCUGUGCUUGCCUUUGUCCGCCGCUGUCGCCCCUGCUCCGCUCGCUUCAUCCACAUCUGCGCCUCUCCCCUCCCGCAUCGCAGUUUGUCUGUUGUCCACGCCUCGUUCGUUGUUGUCUCCGUCUCCGUCAGUUUGUGUGGUCACCCUCGCCCGUCGCCCUUUGUCCACCGCAUAUACUGAUACAGAUUCCUGUACUUGCAAACUGCUCUUCUGUGUGUGGUUAUUGGAUCACACAACUGUCAAAAUUAAUGUCAGGUAAUAACUGUCAAAGUUUAGUGUUGCCUAUUUUCAGUUGAAGUUCAGUUUUAGUGUAGUAGAAUUUAUUUUCAGUUUUACUUUUUGUUGGGCUCAAUUUCAGAGUUUUGUUUGUCCCUCAAACAAAUUUUUAGUCUUGGCAUCAAACAAAUCUUUGGUUUGACCAUUAGAUGAUCUGCAGUUUGACCAUUCAGUUAAAUGUAGCAGGCUUCUAUCAUUCAGUUUGAUGAUUCAUAGUUUUAGAUUUUACGGUCUUGCAUCAUUUCAGGCUUGCAUCUCACCACACUGCCUACUCAUGGAUAGCUCUAUAACUACUGCCUUGACGACAAUGGUUUUGAGCUGUGCGAAAUAAAUUUCAGGAGUCAUCUGCUAAGAGCAAAUGUUGGUUUGGUGAUGGUACUGAGCAGAUCAUGCUCGUGGAGAAUGUGAACCUGAUUGUGUGCAUCAUACUAGUAAUGCCCUCCUUUCACCUGCUAAUGUAAAUUUGUUGGCGGAAUUUGUUAAGUUUUUGUGAAUCCAACGUAUCUUGUUCUAUAGAAUGUAUUCUUUUUUUUGUCCCAAAUUAUGUCUUGUGCAAACCAAAAUUUUGUUCUCUACGUUCUUAUAUAGAGAGUAGAUUAGCAUAAGGAAGUUGCCUAGGGAAUCAAUGGAACUUGUAAUGAUCAAGAGAAGGUGUGUAUGAUUUUUUUUGGGUAUCUUCAUGUGUAUUGUUUGAUUUUUGGUACUGUACAACAUUGUAUAUUUUUACAAAAUAGGCUCAAGGUGAAUCAACUAAAUCCAGAGACAAGGUUAUCAUGUACUCUGGUGACACUUUUCAGGAAGUGGAAGAUAAUCACCGUAAAGAUCUUCUAGAUAUGUGCGUAUAGGUGUUUUUUUUAUUUUCUUGCUUUGAUGUACCAAACGACGUGGCAAAUUAUGAUUUGUUGAAAAAGUGGAAGACAACCAACAGAAUAAUCUUCCACAAGAUGUGUAGUUAGUCCCGGAAUUAAUCCAGAUGAAUUAAGUGUA